rnacentral:rRNA from 1 species
AUACGGAGGGUCCAAGCGUUAUCCGGAAUCAUUGGGUUUAAAGGGUCCUUAGGCGGGCAAUUAAGUCAGAGGUGAAAUCCCACAGCUCAACUGUGGAACUGCCUUUGAUACUGGUUGUCUUGAAUUAUAGUGAAGUAGAUAGAAUAUGUAGUGUAGCGGUGAAAUGCUUAGAUAUUACAUAGAAUACCGAUUGCGAAGGCAGUCUACUAACUGUAUAUUGACGCUGAUGGACGAAAGCGUGGGGAGCGAACAGGAUUAGAAACCCUAGUAGUCC